rnacentral:tRNA from 1 species
GCUCCAGUGGCGCAAUCGGUUAGCGCGCGGUACUUAUACAGCAGUACUAAGCAAUGCCGAGGUCGUGAGUUCGAGCCUCACCUGGAGCA